CUGUAGCUGACGAGCCCCAAAUAGGACGAAGCGCGCGUCAAACUAGAU
rnacentral:hammerhead_ribozyme from 1 species